GUGCUCGCUUCGGCAGCACAUAUACUAAAAUAGGAACAAUACAGAGAAAAUUAGCAUGGCCCAUGCAAAAGGAUGCAGAGAAGUUGGAACCCUGAGUACUACAUAUGA